rfam:Virgibacillus massiliensis genome assembly, contig: 000002
UUCUUAUCCAGAGAGGUGGAGGGACUGGCCCUUGGAAGCCUCGGCAACAGACUUUUCAUACGUACUGUGCCAAUUCCAGAUGCAUGCUGCAUGAAGAUAAGAA